rnacentral:rRNA from 1 species
CACAUCGGAACGUACCUGGUUGUGGGGGAUAACCUACCGAAAGGUAGGCUAAUACCGCAUGAGCUCGGUGAGAGGAAAGCGGGGGACUCGAGCGAUCGAGCCUCGCGCGACCGGAGCGGCCGAUGUCCGAUUAGCUAGUUGGUGGGGUAAAGGCCUACCAAGGCGACGAUCGGUAGCUGGUCUGAGAGGAUGAUCAGCCACACUGGGACUGAGACACGGCCCAG